UUAACACCUGAGAGCCCUUAAACUGCAGACAAAGUCAGAAACUGACACUGGCUACACUUUCCAUCUGUAGUGUACUGCUAGCUAAAUAUUAGCAGCAGUCGCUGCAUAAGAGGGUGAUUGUUAUUUGAAUCGUGUAGUAUCAACAGGCAUGUGCAGAUUUUUAUAUGCCACCUUACUUACUGACACCCAGAAUCAACUGACAAUACUGCAAGAUCUUGUCAAACCCACCUGCUAACUACUCUUCUUCUCUUAAGCAUAUAAUGCACUCACACAGAAGAAUGGCUUGCCAUUAAUGGUUGCUGCAGGAGAAAGAAGAUGAAGAGUUAGCGGUCAGCAAGGUAGGCUGUCCACGAAGCCAAUACGCCACUGUGGGUUCCGUAGGGAUUCCAGCUUGGUCAACGAUGCACUUCCAGUCCUUGCGAUCUGUGGCCUUAAACUUUACCUUAG